UUGGUCUGGUUAUCAGGGUGCUCUCUGAUAACACUUCUAUACGCUUUAGAAUUGUGUGGAGCGGAAUUUGAGAAUGAUUUUAGGAUACUGUAUUUUAUCUGUGCUAAUUUCAUAUUCUUAUGGACAGUCCCUGACCUCCUCUGCUUCUGUGGUGAAGAAACCUGGAGAAUCCGUCACUCUGUCCUGCACCGUGUCCGGACUCUCGCUUAGCUGGCUCCACUGGAUCCGUCAGAAACCAGGAAAAGGACUGGAGUGGAUCGGGCGCAUUGACAGUGGCACCGGCACUAUAUUCGCUCAGUCUCUGCAGGGCCAGUUCUCCAUCACUAAAGAUACCAAUAAAAACAUGGUGUACCUAGAAGUGAAGAGUCUGAAAGCUGAAGACGCGGCUGUUUAUUACUGUGCACGAGAGUCACACUGA